GUAAGAAGUUGAGUGGCGGACGGGUGAGUAACACGUGGGUAACCUGCCUAAAAGAAGGGGAUAACACUUGGAAACAGGUGCUAAUACCGUAUAUCUCUAAGGAUCGCAUGAUCCUUAGAUGAAAGAUGGUUCUGCUAUCGCUUUUAGAUGGACCCGCGGCGUAUUAACUAGUUGGUGGGGUAACGGCCUACCAAGGUGAUGAUACGUAGCC
rnacentral:rRNA from 1 species